rnacentral:rRNA from 1 species
AGCAGCCGCGGUAAUUCCAGCUCCAAUAGCGUAUAUUAAAGUUGUUGCAGUUAAAAGCUCGUAGUUGAAUUUCGGGAUCAGUAGGUCGGUCAUGCCUAUGGUAUGUACUGGUCUCACUGGCUCCUCCUUCCUGAUGAACCGUAAUGCCAUUAAUUUGGUGUUGCGGGGAAACUGGACUGUUACUUUGAAAAAUUAGAGUGUUUAAAGCAGGCUAACGCUUGAAUACAUUAGCAUGGAAUAAUGAAAUAGGACGAUCGAUCCUAUUUUGUUGGUUUCUAGGAUUGACGUAAUGAUUAAUAGGGAUAGUUGGGGGCAUUAGUAUUCAAUUGUCAGAGGUGAAAUUCUUGGAUUUAUUGAAGACUAACUACUGCGAAAGCAUUUGCCAAGGAUGUUUUCAUUAAUCAAGAACGAAAGUUAGGGGAUCGAAGACGAUCAGAUACCGUCGUAGUC